rnacentral:misc_RNA from 1 species
GUACCUUCAAGCUUUGCUUGGUGUUGGGUGUUUGUCCUCUCCCUGGUGUUAGGACUCGCCUUAAAACAAUUGGCAGCCAGUGUUUUGGUAUUGAAGCGCAGCACAAGUCGCGAUUCUAACCUAAUAACACUUGCGUCCACAAGCCUUUUUUCAC